UGGGGAAUUUUGGACAAUGGGGGAAACCCUGAUCCAGCAAUGCCGCGUGAGUGAAGAAGGCCUUCGGGUUGUAAAGCUCUUUUGUCAGGGAAGAAAAGGCCCAGGCUAAUAUCCUGGGUGAAUGACGGUACCUGAAGAAUAAGCACCGGCUAACUACGUGCCAGCAGCCGCGGUAAUACGUAGGGUGCGAGCGUUAAUCGGAAUUACUGGGCGUAAAGGGUGCGCAGGCGGUUGUGCAAGACAGAUGUGAAAUCCCCGGGCUUAACCUGGGAAUUGCAUUUGUGACUGCACAGCUAGAGUGUGUCAGAGGGGGGUAGAAUUCCACGUGUAGCAGUGAAAUGCGUAGAGAUGUGGAGGAAUACCGAUGGCGAAGGCAGCCCCCUGGGAUAACACUGACGCUCAUGCACGAAAGCGUGGGGAGCAAACA
rnacentral:rRNA from 1 species